UCCUGCCAGUAUUAUAUGCUGAUAUUAAAGAUUAAGCCAUGCAUGUCUAAGUAUAAGUUUUAUACAGCGAAACUGCGGAAGGCUCAUUACAACAGUUAUAGUUUUGAUGGUUAGUAAAAAGAAGGAUAACUCUUGUUAAUUGCAGAGCUAAUACUUGAUUUUACUGUUAUCUAUAUGAUUACAGCGUAAUAAAGCAAUUUAUUACAUAGGAAUAGCUUUUUGAGAAGAAGGUUAAAUUGAGAAUUGAUGAAACUUAAUGUUUUUACAAGUAACUGUUUUAAAUAUCUGACCUAUCAACUUGAAGGUAUGAUAGAGGCAUACCUAAGUGAUAACGGGUAACGAGAAAUAAGGGUUUGAUUUCGGAGAGGGAGCUUUAAAAAUGGCUACCACUUCUAAGGAAGGCAGCAGGCGCGCAAAUUACCCACUUUUAAUUUAGAGAGGUAGUGACGAUAAUUAAUAGAAUCGAUAUUUAUAUUGAUUCAAAUGUAAUGAUUAGAGUUUAAAAAAAUUUAAGAAAUCGAUUGGAGGGCAAGUCUGGUGCCAGCAGCCGCGGUAAUUCCAGCUCCAAUAGUGUAUAUUAAAGUUGUUGUGUUUAAAAAGCUCGUAGUCGAAUUAUAAGUUUUUUAUAUUAGUUAAAAAACUAAUAUAAAAAAAGGAGAAAGGUUAUUUAUAAUCUUUUAUUUACUUUGAAAAAAAUAGAGUGUUUAAAGCAAAAGUUCAUUAAUGUAUAAUGAAGCAUAGGAUAAUAAUGAGGAGAAGAAAUUUUUGAGAACAGUAUUAAAAAGGGAAAUUGGGGUAAU
rnacentral:rRNA from 1 species